GCGUCAAUAGCUCAGUGGUAGAGCGCAGGAUUGCAGUCAAAAUGCUAUCAUCCCGAGGUCCCCGGUUCGAUCCCGGGUUGGCGCU
rnacentral:tRNA from 1 species